GUUAUUUAUAUGCAUUUUUAGUAGUAGUAGUAGUAGUAGUAGUAGUAGUAGUAGUAGUUCGUCAUUACACACACACAAAAUAAUAAUAAUAAUAAUAAUAAUAAUAAUUAAUAAUUAAUAAUUAAAUAAAAAUUCCAAUGUACCGCUCAGUUUAAUGUUAGUAAGUGACCACUGGGUGGAUAUGGAGUCUUAAAUGUGAGUUAAAGUUAUGAAUGUCGUGGAUGUGUAAUUACUUUCGCUUUCGAGCGCAUUUUCUGUGAGAGUGAAACUGUGUUUGGGGUAGUCAGUGAAAGUGUGCUGAUGAAAAAACAUCCCUGACAGGUAUAAUGUAGACAUCAGCUCAAUCUGAAUCUUAAGCUUCACGGUUAAGUUUAUGAACACACCUAUUGAAAUAAGAACAGACUGAAUGAAAAGCACCGGGAUGAAUUUUAUCCCUGGAAUUCGAUCUGUCCGUUUAACAGGAUUUUCAGUUGCGUUAAUGCUGUUAUCGACAUGCUCGUGCAGCGACCACCCUGUCGUUAAAGUUAAUGCUAUGGUUGGAGAAGCAGCAGCUCUUCCCUGCAUGUGUCCUCCUGACAGUCCUCCAUAUCUGGUCUGGCAGAAGACCAUCGCUGAUCAGGCACUUGUGGUUAAUUACUAUAAAGAUGACGACCAAGAAGAGAACCAAAUGGCACUCGAGUACAGGAACAGAACAGAGCUGAGGCUGACAGGAAACUGUUCUCUUGUGAUUCAUAGUGUGUGUUCAUCAGACCAAGGACUGUACACCUGUUACUAUAAGAGUAAACCUUUAAGGCAUGAAACAAUCUAUCUGGAGGUCACAGCAAAACAAGUACAAGAAAAAGAGUCAGAUGAACCUCAGAGCGUCUGGAGCACCAUUGUGAUGUCUUCAGUCUGCGGGUUUCUCGUCAUUUUGAUCACAAUUGCUGCAGCAUAUGUGAUAAUUACUUGCAGAAAUAGACAUCAGAUAAGAAGAACAUCCAUUGCAACAUCAAUGAGGAGCAUUUAACAGCUGUCAUUAAUAUAGUGAUCUUUAUCACUGUUUUUAGUGGCUUUUCAUGGAUGGUAGAAAAUGCAACAAACAAAACCAUCAAUAAUGUGCUCAAUCAGACUAUACUCAAAUACAAUGUUUAGUUUUCUCAAAAUCCCUGGAUCUGUCCAAAGUCUGCUGGAUUAUGUGUUUUAUUUCCUAUGGCAGAUUUUUGCUGAUAAAUAAACUGAUAUUUUGGUGCAGGUUAACAGAAAAAUUAUACAAAUUAUUAAUUUAUUUCUACUACUGACAUUUGUAAUAAUACAAAGCUGGUUGAAAAUUGGUGUAAAUGCAACUGUGAAUUGCCAACCAAUGGCUAUCAGCCAUCCAAAACACCCCAGCAAACCACAUAGCACCCAUCCUGAACACCCUAGUAAGUACAUGUAACAUUCUAAUCACAAAAAAAAACACAUUCUUAGAAUAUUAAAAAUAUGCAUUCAAAUAACAUAUUUUGGGUGAAAAUAAAAUUAUUAACACUUUGAAACGUCAAGCAUCCUUUAACAUCAUAACCGUGAUAAGAAAACUGGAUAUUUCAAUGUUUUAGAAGCAUUCCAAAACUGGAAUUAUGUUCCCACAACAUUUUUAUAACUCAUAACCUUUUUUUUUUACUGCUGAUCC
ensembl:lncRNA